rnacentral:rRNA from 1 species
UACGUAGGGGGCAAGCGUUGUCCGGAUUUAUUGGGCGUAAAGAGCGUGUAGGCGGCCUGACAGGUCUGCUGUGAAAACUCGAGGCUCAACCUCGAGAUGUCGGCGGAAACCGUCUGGCUAGAGUCCGGAAGAGGAGAGUGGAAUUCCUGGUGUAGCGGUGAAAUGCGCAGAUAUCAGGAGGAACACCAAUUGCGAAGGCAGCUCGCUGGGACGUUACUGACGCUGAGGUGCGAAAGCGUGGGGAGCAAACAGG